rnacentral:lncRNA from 1 species
CUUGAUUUAAUUAGCUCAUAAAAUCUGGACUUGCCAAGCUGGUCAACUGAGGCCACUUUUGGGAACCCAGAGGAAGAAGGUAUCUUCUAUAUCUAUUAUAUAGUCUAUCUAUUUAUGGGGAUAAAUAGAUGUUGGUAGAAGUGGAGGUUUCUGGAAUUGUCUGAAAAUAGUUCCUAUUGCCAAACUUUUGUACAUCAAGUGUGUGUACAAGAAAGACCUCAGAAAGUCAGCACUGCUAUAGGACUGUGCACAAGCCAAGUAUCUGAAUAAUUUCUGGUGACUGGGCUUUUUCCCUGUUGAGUUCGAUGACUGUACUCCACUAGGAGAAAGGUCAUGAAGCAUGGUUCCUGCUAGGGCUGACAUUUAACAAGGAGUGAUUGAUUUGAAAGCAGGAUUGAUACUCAGAUUUAGUCUACCGGUGUUUUGCUAAAAUCCCUUUAAAAUGGGACUGUAAGUUCAUCCUCUCUUUUUCUUUCCUCUGAAUAGAUUUUUUUUUAACUAGGCCAAAAACUACCAAUAGCCAGCUCAAGUAAAACACAAGCCAAUUCAUGUCUUCAGUGUCCACCAUCUGAGUAUCUCCUAGUUAGAGGAAUGAUCACAGUUCUUAAAGUAUGAAAACACUAGUUACUGAUCGCUACCUAUCCUGAGCCCUCACUGCUAACACAGGAGCUCCAGAUGAAAUCUAAAUUUGCUAUUUCAAGCCCAUUGCUGUGUUGAUCAUUUGAGAUAAAAAUGACAUAGUUUUGAGUCUUCGGAAACUGCUCCACUUAACUCCCA